rnacentral:rRNA from 1 species
CCUACGGGAGGCAGCAGUGAGGAAUAUUGGUCAAUGGGCGCGAGCCUGAACCAGCCAAGUCGCGUGAGGGAAGACGGUCCUAUGGAUUGUACACCUCUUUUGUCGGGGAGCAAAAGACGCCACGCGUGGCGUUCCGAGAGUACCCGAAGAAAAAGCAUCGGCUAACUCCGUGCCAGCAGUCGCGGUAAUACGGAGGAUGCGAGCGUUAUCCGGAUUGAUUGGGUUUAAAGGGUGCGCAGGCGGAAGAUCAAGUCAGCGGUAAAAUUGAGAGGCUCAACCUCUUCGAGCCGUUGAAACUGGUUUUCUUGAGUGAGUGAGAAGUAUGCGGAUUGCGUGGUGUAGCGGUGAAAUGCAUAGAUAUCACGCAGAACUCCGAUUGCGAAGGCAGCAUACCGGCGCUCAACUGACGCUCAUGCACGAAAGUGUGGGUAUCGAACAGGAUUAGAUACCCAGUAGUC